CGCAAUGUGUCAGUGGAGAGCAUGGACAGUGGAAAGCUCGGAUUACGCGCGAAGACAUCACACACAUCCAAACUCCUAGCACUAUAUGAACCCUUAGGGUGUUGAAUUAACUCUUGCAGUGUUCGUUUGUCCUUAUACAAACACUAGGUGUGAAGUGAACACUGGAAUUUCUUUCUUUUUUUUUUUUUUUCAUGGCUACGUGCAUGAGCAGCGCUGCAAGGCGCACGUAGCCUAAACGGACAUUACCCACUCCCACAGAUGCUCAGGGGUGACAAGUACCUGCACUGAAUCGAGAUCCGACCAUUUUCGACCACUUUAAAAUAUGCAAACGCCAUGCCAGGUAAUCUAACAGCAUUGUUAUGCUAAAGAGGGAUGGAUAGAGCCCCUGCGCUUUUGUUUCACUGAAGUGCAGACUGGCGCUAUCUCUCACUUUGUCCCUCUCUGCUGUUUUUGUGCUGGUCCCUCAUUUGUGGGUAAUUAAAGGAAAACAAAGUUAGUGACAAAUACACACAUUAAUCAGCCGCAUGUUGCAUGUCAGGCUGUGCCUCAGCACGCUGGAUGAGUUGGAAGAUGAUGCGGAAUGAUUUAUGUACAAAUUAGUUGCACUGAACUUGGGAAGUUUUCUGAGUCAGAUGACAAGUAAGAGUGAAAACGGUAGUUGGUGCAUAUACUGAUAGAAAGGACAAGCUGGAUUUGAUGGCCAGGCGCUGAAUGCAGAUGUCGUUUUACAAGGUGGCACUAGUGGGAGAGUUCACACCCGCUCUGAGAUUCUGCAGACCCGUUCCCACUUGGCCCUGGCUAACGAGAGUGAGCAGCAAUGGGAAGAGAAUGAGUAGAGGAGGCAGAACUGUGGGUGAAAAGCACUAAGAGUAAUUCAUUGUAUUCUUAUUAUUAAAGAAGUGUGACAGAGUGAGAGACGAGGCUCAAUGUUCUGGUGCUGCACAGUGUGUGCAUUCUCUUGUCUCUUGUCUCUUGUCUGUGAAUUCUCUUGUCUGUGAAUUAAUCCUGAAGGCUUGCAGAUCAGCAGCUCUGAUGGUUAAAGCCCAGCCAUAUGCUGACCCAGACAAAACAAACUGUCUAUUAUCACACCAGAGCACACCAUAAACCUACUAGAAAAGAUUUUCUUUCGUCGUUUUCCAAUUGAUUUUUUUUUCUUUUUGUUUCUUUGCCAAAUAAUGUUAUUCUUGUGCAGUGUGGUUUUCAUGUAUCCUAUGUAAAACAACCCCAAGCAUGUCUAACCAUGUCUAAUAAACACCACGGAUUACGCAGCCCAA